rnacentral:rRNA from 1 species
CCUACGGGAGGCUGCAGUGGGGAAUAUUGCGCAAUGGGCGAAAGCCUGACGCAGCGACGCCGCGUGAGGGAUGAAGGUCUUCGGAUCGUAAACCUCUGUCAGCAGGGAAGAAGGCUCACUGUGCUAAUCAGCAGGUAAUUGACGGUACCUGCAGAGGAAGCACCGGCUAACUCCGUGCCAGCAGCCGCGGUAAUACGGAGGGUGCGAGCGUUAAUCGGAAUUACUGGGCGUAAAGCGCUCGUAGGCGGUAUGUCAAGUCAAGGGUGAAAGCCCCGGGCUUAACGUGGGAACUGCCUUUGAAACUGGGAAACUGGAGUGUGUGAGAGGAUAGUGGAAUUCCAGGUGUAGCAGUGAAAUCCGUAGAGAUCUGGAGGAACACCAGUGGCGAAGGCGACUAUCUGGCACAUAACUGACGCUGAGGAGCGAAAGCGUGGGUAGCAAACAGGAUUAGAUACCCUAGUAGUC